UCCAGUGCAGCAUCACAUCCAAUAUUAUGGUAGUAGCUAUAGGUAACAGUUUCACCUGUUUCAGGGAAUUUUCAGUACGUAUCAAUAUAUAUCCACAGGAUACCUGAUUUUACAUUUGGAUCAGCUCACAAUAUCAAAACUAAAUAAUUAUCCACUGGAAUUCUUUCCUCCACAGGUUUUCUGUUUGCUUCAAUGUCCUGAUACUGCUAACUGGAAUACGUCUAUUAUCCGAAUGUAGAAGACUAGUUCUUUUGUGUGCCGAUGCAGGAUACCAGUUUAAGGGAUUUCAGGCCCUGUCUCUGAUCACUCACAAACCUGCAACCCCCAAGAAUAUACAAAUCCUG